AACGAACGCUGGCGGCAGGCUUAACACAUGCAAGUCGAGCGCCCCGCAAGGGGAGCGGCAGACGGGUGAGUAACACGUGGGAACGUACCCUUUACUACGGAAUAGCUCCGGGAAACUGGAAUUAAUACCGUAUGUGCCCUUCGGGGGAAAGAUUUAUCGGUAAAGGAUCGGCCCGCGUUGGAUUAGCUAGUUGGUGGGGUAAAGGCCUACCAAGGCGACGAUCCAUAGCUGGUCUGAGAGGAUGAUCAGCCACAUUGGGACUGAGACACGGCCCAAACUCCUACGGGAGGCAGCAGUGGGGAAUAUUGGACAAUGGGCGCAAGCCUGAUCCAGCCAUGCCGCGUGAGUGAUGAAGGCCCUAGGGUUGUAAAGCUCUUUCACCGGUGAAGAUAAUGACGGUAACCGGAGAAGAAGCCCCGGCUAACUUCGUGCCAGCCGCCGCAGUAAAAC
rnacentral:rRNA from 1 species